rnacentral:rRNA from 1 species
GUGCCAGCCGCCGCGGUAAUACCGGCAGCCCGAGUGAUGGCCGAUCUUAUUGGGCCUAAAGCGUCCGUAGCCAGCCGAACAAGUCCGUUGGGAAAUCCACCCGCUUAACGGGUGGGCGUCCGGCGGAAACUGCUCGGCUUGGGACCGGAGGACCCGAGGGGUACGUCCGGGGUAGGAGUGAAAUCCCGUAAUCCCGGACGGACCGCCGGUGGCGAAAGCGCCUCGGGAGGACGGAUCCGACGGUGAGGGACGAAAGCUAGGGUCUCGAACCGGAUUAGAUACCCUAGUAGUCC